UUUUUUUUUCUCAUAUGUUAUUAAAGAAACCAAAAGUUGGUUAUAAGGCCACAAAGCCCACACUGAAUUUGCAGAAAAUAAGAAAGUGAAGCCCAACAAGAGUCCACCACAAAUUACAUCGAAACAAAGGAGAUUUAGCAUUUGGAUUCUAUCAAAACACGUGUCAACUUGAAAGUACAACCGUAACACAUGUUGAUGAGUUAACAGAAGUCUAUCGACAUCAACUUUCGUCACCGACGAACACCGAAUCUGGUAAGGAAAACAUAGCCGAAAAAUCGCACGAAGAAUCCUUGUUUACCACCGAAAUAUAACUGAACGAAGCUCAAUUUAAAGAGACGACAUAAAGAUCUUGUAAUAAGCAUCUGAAUGUUCUUCGAUCCUUUGAGCAAGACAUAAUCUCUUGAUUAAGUUCCUGCAAAUCAAGGUUUCUAAAGACACAAAUCGAAAACAUUAAUCUUAAGCAAUCAACACCUAAAAACUAAUUCUCAACUGAGAUCUAUAGUUGUUAUUGAAAAACACAAAAGAAAAGAUAAAGUCAAUCGGCAAAAAAACAAAUCGACGACGAAAAAGAGAAAAGUCAGUCAAAACCGUCAUUGAAAACCAG